CGCAGCCGCGGUAAUUCCAGCUCCAAUAGCGUAUAUUAAAGUUGUUGCAGUUAAAAAGCUCGUAGUUGAAUUUCGGGAUCAGUAGGCUGGUCGUGCCACAGGUACGUACUGGUCUCACUGAUUCCUCCUUCCUGAUGAACCGUAAUGCCAUUAAUUUGGUGUUGCGGGGAAACUGGACUGUUACUUUGAAAAAAUUAGAGUGUUUAAAGCAGGCUAACGCUUGAAUACAUUAGCAUGGAAUAAUGAAAUAGGACGUUCGAUCCUAUUUUGUUGGUUUCUAGGGUUGACGUAAUGAUUAAUAGGGAUAGUUGGGGGCGAUUAGUAUUCAAUUGUCAGAGGUGAAAUUCUUGGAUUUAUUGAAGACUAACUACUGCGAAAGCAUUUGCCAAGGAUGUUUUCAUUAAUCAAGAACGAAAGUUAGGGGAUCGAAGACGAUCAGAUACCGUCGUAGUCUUAACCCAUAAACUAUGCCGACUAAGGGAUCGGUAUGAUGUUAAUUUUUUAAUGACUCAUUCGGACG
rnacentral:rRNA from 1 species